rnacentral:rRNA from 1 species
AUUGAACGCUGGCGGCAGGCCUAACACAUGCAAGUCGAACGAGUGGCGGACGGGUGAGUAAUGUCUGGGAAACUGCCUGAUGGAGGGGGGUAACUCCUGUGAACGGUAGCUAAUACCGCAUACCAUACUGUAUGCCCAGAUGGGAUUAGCUAGUUGUUGGGGUAACGGCUCACCAAGGCGACGAUCCCUAGCUGGUCUGAGAGGAUGACCAGCCAAACUGGAACUGAGACACGGUCCAGACUCCUACGGGAGGCAGCAGUGGGGAAUAUUGCACAAUGGGCGCAAGCCUGAUGCAGCCAUGCCGCGUGUAUGAAGAAGGCCUUCGGGUUGUAAAGUACUUUCAGCGGGGAGGCGUUACCCGCAGAAGAAGCACCGGCUAACUCCGUGCCAGCAGCCGCGGUAAUAC